GGAGGUGAGUUUGGUUAGUUAGUUUUAAUUCUUUGUUUUUAAGGUUUAUUGUCUUGUACUCGUCCAUUAAUUCAUUGAAGGCAUCAUAUAGUUCAUCGAAAGUAAAAUCUAAAUGUGUUGCGGAUGUUACCUCAUUGUCAUUAGCCAUAAAACACAGAUUAGCCUUUUCUUCUUGUUCUUCAUCUGAUGAUGAUGAUGAUGUGUCGGAGUCCGAUAGGGUGGAGACGAGGACUUUCUUCUUCUUGUACUUGCUCCCCUUCUUCAGCAAAGGACACUCAGCUCUGAAGUGCCC
rnacentral:lncRNA from 1 species